rnacentral:rRNA from 1 species
GACGAACGCUGGCGGCGUGCUUAACACAUGCAAGUCGAACGGAAAGGCCCCUUUGGGGGUACUCGAGUGGCGAACGGGUGCGUAACACGUGAGUAACCUGCCCUGGACUUCGGGAUAACUUCAGGAAACUGGGGCUAAUACCGGAUAGGAAUCCUUGCUGCAUGGUGGGGGUUGGAAAGCUUCGGCGGUUUUGGAUGGACUCGCGGCUUAUCAGCUUGUUGGUGGGGUAGUGGCUUACCAAGGCUUUGACGGGUAGCCGGCCUGAGCGGGCGACCGGCCACAUUGGGACUGAGCUACGGCCCAGACUCCUACGGGAGGCAGCAGUGGGGAAUAUUGCACAAUGGGCGGAAGCCUGAUGCAGCAACGCCGCGUGCGGGAUGACGGCCUUCGGGUUGUAAACCGCUUUCAGCAGGGGCGAAGCUUGUGGUGACGGUACCUGCAGAAGAAGCACCGGCUAACUACGUG